rnacentral:rRNA from 1 species
GAUGAACGCUGGCGGCGUGCCUAAUACAUGCAAGUCGAGCGAACAGACGAGGAGCUUGCUCCUCUGACGUUAGCGGCGGACGGGUGAGUAACACGUGGAUAACCUCCCUAUAAGACUGGGAUAAUUUCGGGAAACCGGAGCUAAUACCGGAUAAUAUAUUGAACCGCAUGGUUCAAUAGUGAAAGACGGUUUUGCUGUCACUUAUAGAUGGAUCCGAGCCGCAUUAGCUAGUUGGUAAGGUAAAGGCUUACCAAGGCGACGAUGCGUAGCCGACCUGAGAGGGUGAUCGGCCACCCGGGAACUGAGACACGGUCCAGACUCCUACGGUAGGCACCAGUAGGGAAUCUUCCGCAAUGGGCGAGAGCCUGGCGGAGCAACGCCACGUGAGUGAUGAAGAUCUUCGGAUCGUAAAACUCUGUUAUGAGGGAAGAACAAAUGUGUAAGUAACUAUGCACUUCUUGACGGUACCUAAUCAGAAAGCCACGGCUAACUACGUG